GCACAGGUAGUUCAGUGGUAGAUCUCCUGCCCGGUGAGCGGAAGCCCCGGGUUCGAUUCCCGGUCUGUGCA
rnacentral:tRNA from 1 species